AUAAUGCAACAUUUGUUUGUUAAAUAAAGUAUAGUUUAGUAAUGAAAAAAGUUCGUAAUGAUAAUUCGAAGGGACGAAUCAGCAAGUGCAUGAUCCUCCGACCAUAUAUGUAUCGAUCGAUCGGUCGAUCGAUCCAUCGAUCGACCGGUCGUCUUUCGUUUCUCUCCAUAUAUUCGACUCCGAUGGAUUCGCUGGUGCUACUACUACUACUACAUACUACCAACAACCAACAACACACUACUACAACACUACUACUAAAAGGCUAAUUGUAAGAAACGAUCGCGAAUGAGACGUCAAAGUCCAGAAAAAAAUAAACUAGAAAUUAAUUACAUCACGAUCUCGUUUUCGUUCAAUAAGAAAUUAAGGAUUUUUACCUGUUUUAUUAGGUGGACCAUAAACAACAUGAGUAGGUUGACCACUGCUUCCCGAAGAACCUCUCGAAGCUGCUCCCGAUGCACUAGCAA